rnacentral:rRNA from 1 species
AGUGAACGCUGGCGGCGUGCUUAACACAUGCAAGUCGAACGAGAAACGGAUUUAGCUUGCUAAAUUGCAGUCUAAGUGGCGCACGGGCGAGUAAUGUAUAGGUAAUAUGCCUCUUACUAAGCGAUAACAAUUGGAAACGAUUGCUAAUACCUUAUAUGCCUUUAAUACGAAAGUAUGCAAGGGAAAGAUUUAUUGGUAAGAGAUUAGCCUGUAUGGUAUCAGCUUGUUGGUGAGGUAAUGGCUCACCAAGGCUAUGACGCCUAACUGGUUUGAGAGGAUGAUCAGUCACACUGGGACGGAGACACGGUCCAGACUCCUACGGGAGGCAGCAGUGGGGAAUAUUGCACAAUGGACGAAAGUCUGAUGCAGCCACGCCGCGUGGAGGAUGACAGAUUUCGGGGCGUAAACUCCUUUUAUAUAGGAAGAUAAUGACGGUACUAUAAGAAUAAGCACCGGCUAACUCCGUGCCAGCCGCCGCGGUAA